GCGAGGGUAGCCAAGUGGUCAAAGGCGCUAGGCUUAGGACCUAGUCCCUUAGUGGGUUCGCAGGUUCGAAUCCUGCCCCUCGCA
rnacentral:tRNA from 1 species